GACCUUUUCUGUGUGACAGCCGGUGGAUUUCGCCCCUUAAGUCGUGUCAAAUUUUCUUUUUCCUAUUGUUCUUAAUGCGGAAGUUAGUAAGAUAAAUUAGGCAGCCAUCAUUUAGUGCUAAUUUCAAGUAUUUAAUCUGUUUAAUCUGUGUAAACGAGCCACAUUACCCAGAGCAUUGGCAAUAUAAGCUAGUGAAUAGGAUUGCCAGUUGCAUUCCCUUCUACGACAUUUAACGGAAGAACAUCGCUAACAAACCUGUUUCCCGGCCGAAUAAUGGAAGCUAAAAGUCUCGUAGUCAUUCUUCUUGUUUCGUGCGUUUUCGUCUCAGUCUGCCUGCAACCAGCCUCCUCGCAAGGACUUCGAUGGGGAAGAGAAUUUAAAGAAGAAAAUCCCAAGAUAGAGCGAGUUAAAGCAGAUUAUCUCAGGAAAAAGCAAAUGCGAGAAUCCUUUGAUGACGCAACGGAAAAGGACUUUGAUUUUAACAGACGUUAAAGCUCUCAUGGAAUAUCACCACAAAACGAAAAGGACUGAAAAAAAUGAUUAGAUCUUAAUUUGAAUGAACUGUUAUACGUUCUUGUAACAAUGUUUGCUUUUAUAUACUGAUUUACUAGUGCAGAAAAUAGUUGAAUGAAAGUUGUGAAAUAAAUUGUAACGAAAUGUGACGCAAUAAAACGCAUAUGGUGAUGUCCCGAAAAAAAUGCGCAGGACAAAAAAAAAAA